GUAACAUUUGAAGCCAGACUGUUUCAGAAUUAAACAAAGGUCAGUAGCUCAGAGCAAGGAGAGGAAGGUGGGACACAGCGAGGGAAACAGAAUAUUGCAAAGUAUUUCUUGAAUAUUCACACCUAAUCUUGCACUAAACCUAAGAUGACAAGCCAAGAAAGAAGCUUACUCCCCACAGAGAGAUUUUGAAGAUGCAAAUGCAAAGUUGGGGAUUUCAGACUAAAACUGUCUCUCUAUCAGAAAAAAAUGCAUGCAUUUUAUGCCUUUUGGAGAAGAUGAAGAGAGAUGGGUCUUUGAGAAAAACCUGUGAUGGAUAUGAAUCGAUGGAUAAGAUUCUGAGCUCUGCCCACGCUUCAGAGAAGCAUCUGUCAAUCCACUGACUAAUGACAAUGACUUAUGUGUCCAGACUUCAGAGUAACAGAAGGCCUGGCUCCAAAUAAUAGAGUGACCAUGUUUCCUAAAGAGACUGUAUGUGUUUAAAACAUAAAGGCAUUUUGACAGAGAGAAUAACUGAAUAGGCUUAGCUUGGUGACACUUAAAGCAUUUAACCAUGUCCCAUAUAUUUCUACAGAGGGGUAGUAUUUAGUAGUUUAUUUUCCUAUAAAUAUUAAAACCUGUGCAAAAACAGAAGAAAACAACACACAGUAAUCUAAAAGCUCAAGAAAAUUUAAGUGCACAGAUAAGAAAAUCAAAUGAACUUCUUAUUUAUUACUGUUACAAUUCCCUGUGUACAUAUGUCCUUUUAUUCUAUAUAUUUAUAGAUGAAUAAUGAUAAUAAUGAUGAUUAAUGUUCAUUCACUGCUUACUGAGUGUCAGGCCCUGUGCUGAGUACCUUAAAAGAUUUAUCCCAUUUAUCCUCUCAAUAGCCAUGGAUCUACUGAACAGAAUAGACUUCAGUUUUAAGAUGGUUUCACCUCUCAAGAUACAGAUUUCAAAGACUAAAACCAUUCUAA
ensembl:lncRNA